UAAUUUUAUUUGGUAAUUCUAUUUCCAAAUUGAAGAUGAUUUAUUAUUUCUUAUUUCUUUAAUCAGGUGAUCAAGAAACAUAGUCCAGUAUUACCAUACACAUAUUUAUGGAAAUCUUUUCAAAUCUAGUUGUUUCUUCUACCUUCCAGAGAAUCAGAUUCAAAAGGAGGCAAAGAAAUCAAUUGCUGGGUUCAACAGAAGAAUCAGAUGGACUGCCAGGCCUGUGUUUCCCCGUUACCUGACCUAUCAUUGGUCUGUGAGCAGUUACAGAUUGUUUUAUUUUUUGAGCCACACCACAAGAAAGGCAGGCCCUGGCAGCGUGGAAGACUUAUUUCAGGGGGAUGAGCAUGGAUACCGAGUUGCUGCCAAAGCCCAGAUGAGUGUGGACAAGUGGGCAACGGGGAGGAAAGGUGGUGUUUUAUUAAAGAUUUAGAGGAGAACGAGGGUUGUAUAUCUGUAGAUAAAACAGAGAGAUGGCUAGACUCAGGGCCAAAAUCAUCAACAGAUCAAAAUAAUGGGCUAUCGCUAAAAAAAGACUUAGUAACGAUAAACGAACCCCUCUUUUUAAGUCCAGCUGCACGGGCACAGAAGACAACAAGACAACCCAGCCAAGCUUCAGGAGCUGCACAGAAGGAGGGUGCACAGACAGUGAGCUCUCGACAUACGAUCAGCGUGAUGAGGCAGUGAAAGUCCUAACAGUAUCACAGGUGGUAUCAACAGAUGUCCAGCUCGCUGAGUAAGCGGAAGAGCCUUCUCUGCUUGGGGGUCCUCGGAUCACAUUGCCUGAACUAGGUAUUUCACUAGGAUGAUAAAUUAGAACACACUCGAAAGAGAGCAGCCUAGGACCUGCCAAAAUUCUAGGCUAUAAUACAGGAGAUCAUUGGAAAGAAGGUACAUUUUCCUUUGGAGAAAACAGGGCAAGAUCUGGAGAAACAAGGUAACUGUAUUAAAGGUUAACAUGUGGAGGCAUUUCUACUUUUAGUGUAGUGCUGGAAGGCAGAAUGAGGCUGGGUGACUGGAAGCUACCAGAAGGUAACAAGCUGUGCCUUCCGUCAUUGAAGAUGGCCAUGCAGAAACACGGACCUGGGAUGACAGUGCUGAAUGAACGUGUUGUGUCCAGGUUGGAUUCUUAGGUCUUUAGAGUCUCUACUGAUCCCACAACUGAUUCCACAACCGGAUGAGAACCUAAGGGCAGUUAGAUGCCCAGGGAGAAACACUCUGGCAGAAAGAAAAAAGGCCUGAGAGAGCUUCAGAAGGCCCUCCCAUCCCCCCUCCCCCGCCCGUAUUUACACUUCACAGAGCUCUGUUUUUUGCCAGCAGCUCUACAGUUGUACUGUUUUACUCGUUCAGCUGAUGCCCCCCAGAGGUUUUAGACGUAAAGCUAAAAUACACCAACAAUGGAAGCUUCCCUCAGUGGUCCGGUUACCACAGGCAGGUGCUCAGGAUUGCUAUACCUGCAGCUCCCAGACUUCCUGCACUCUCCCCCACGGGCAACUUCAGGGAACUCUAGAAGAUGAGAAAUUCUAGGGAAGAUGGGGACUGAAAAUGAAGAAGAUAAAUGACACCAGAUCAAUGACACCAUUUACUUUGAAUGGAACACCACGGCUCUGUAACUUCAGAGAGAUCUAAACGUUUGUGAGAGAAGAGCAGUAUUGAAGAAUAGUAAAGCAAUUCAGUUUAUUACUUUAUGGGCAUUUUAAGGAGAGUGAUUGUCUUAAGUCUUCAGGUCAAUGAAGAAGUGACCCAGCCCAGAGCAAAGGGUUCAACAUUCAUUACAGAAUUUCUUGAGACUUGUCCCAAUCCCAUCUUUUGUGGCUUUGCUACUCUUUCCAAUUCUUUAUCCUAAAAUGCCCUACCGUAAUUAAAACUGACAUCAAUUAAGAAAUUUUAAGAGGUUUAAUAUCCUGUUUUUACUUUAAAAGUUAAUUUAAAAGUUUCUCUUAAAAAGUAAUUGAAAUGUGUUACAUAAUCCUGGGGGAAAACUCUGAUUUUCUGAGGGUCAGGGUA
rnacentral:lncRNA from 1 species